rnacentral:rRNA from 1 species
AGAAAUGGCUGCUAAUACCGCAUAAGCCUGCUGUGCCGCAUGGCACAGCAGGGAAAACCACGGUGGUACAGGAUGGGCCCGCGUCUGAUUAGUUAGUUGGCAGGGUAACGGCCUACCAAGACAACGAUCAGUAGCCGGCUUGAGAGAGUGGACGGCCACAUUGGGACUGAGACACGGCCCAGACUCCUGCGGGAGGCAGCAGUGGGGAAUAUUGCACAAUGGGGGGAACCCUGAUGCAGCAAUGCCGCGUGGGUGAAGAAGCACUCCGGUGCGUAAAGCCCUGUCAGCAGGGAAGAAAAUGACAGUACCUGGACAAGAAGCCCCGGCUAACUACGUGCCAGCAGCCGCGGUAAUACGUAGGGGGCAAGCGUUAUCCGGAUUUACUGGGUGUAAAGGGAGCGCAGGCGGCGUGGCAAGUCAGAUGUGAAAACCCGGGGCCCAACCCCGGGAGUGCAUUUGAAACUGCCAUGCUGGAGUGCCGGAGAGGUAAGCGGAAUUCCUAGUGUAGCGGUGAAAUGCGUAGAUAUUAGGAGGAACACCAGUGGCGGAGGCGGCUUACUGGACGGUAACUGACGCUGAGGCUCGAAAGCGUGGGGAGCAAACAGGAUUAGAUACCCUGGUAGUCCACGCCGUAAACGAUGAA